GCCGCGCGGGAAUGAUAUUUGUCGAGAGUUCCGACAACGUGUUGCGCAAGAAGCUGUCAUUGCUCGUGGGCCCGUGGCUCAGCACUGAUCCGAGGCUGCAGACGAUUCGGAGUGAUGCUUCUAUCCCGUGAUAUUGGCGAGCAUCGUUCCCGAGGUAUUCUCAAGUGUCGCCGGUCGAGGAAGAUGAAAUCGGCGUAAGAUAUAGGACCUGUCGGUUUUAGGCUGCGGCUGCGGUGGACACUUAACACUAGGUCUACGGACGUUCAUUGUGGUUUGUUCCAUUGUUCCUAGAGAAAUUGGUAUUCGCUCGUUCAUUAGAUCUUGGAAAUUCGGAACUUAGAAAUAGAUUGUUAGAAUACAUAUUCGCGUAAUUGCAUCGAUCGAGACCGACAUAAACGUUUACCAAGUAAUCUUUAGGAAAUUCAACGUUAAGCUUGAGUGCUGGCCAACUCGAUACGCCAAAAGAAUUAAUCGGUUAAUCUUCGGUCAUCUUCAAUUUAACACGAAUUUAGUCAACGAUUGAUUACUUCUUUUUUCGGACGAACAUGUAAUUCCUUUUCAGUUCGCUGCAGUUCUUUAUUGUAACGUGUCCCGUGUGUAACUGUCUGCAGUUAACUGGUUAAAUGUGUACUGUUGGGAGAUAACUUGACGUCUAACUGGACAGAGGAAUGAUCUUUCGCCGAGUGUUCUCUUUGUAAUUGUGAUUGGUGGAAAUGAGAUAAGGUCGGAUGAGAAGUGAUCAAUCGGUCCCGCGUUCUUCAGCCUAGCCAUCGAGUGAUCUAACAGGACUCUGCGUCGCUCGCGAAGUGUUCCUCGGCGUUGAGGUUUUCCGCUGAGUGUUUAGUAUCGAUUAAUUAUUGCAUGAUUUUGUUGGCGGCUAGUACAUCAGUAUCGAAAGUGCAUCCAGGAACAGAUGGACAGUCGCUAGUUAGGCUAAGUGCACACAAGCGGUUCGCGGUUGCAUGUCGCGACGGCGAUUGUUUGCGAAGAAUGGAGACUAAAGUCCACUGAUCCUUUUUCUUAACCGUUUGAGUAUCAAACAGCGCGAUCGCGCUUACAUCGCCUAAAAGUGCCGCUCUAUCGGUUCGUAAAGUUAAAUGAAGUUUAUUUAUUUGUUACCCUUCUAGUUAUUUAUUUUCGUUAUUGCGUGCCUGGAAAUGGAAAAACGGGACAAUCGCGUUAUUUACAAUUUUUUAAUGUAAAAAUAGAAAAGCGUCAUUCAGUUUCUGAACUGAACGGGGUUUUUGUAAAAAAACGGUUAAGAGACGGAAGAACUUUAUUUCUCUGUUGUUUCAAAACACUCACCUGGGAACACUUGCAAAUCGCUAUCAGGAGGAAACGUCUCAGAUUCUCUACUAGUGUAUUUGCACCUUCGUACGCGAAUUUCAGACGUUUAUUGAAAAGAACGCCGGUACACCUGAAUGCGAAUGCGACAUAACCGCAGCCUUCUAUACGAGGUUGACAAUAAAUUUGGCGAACUGGUCGUGGUGAAAAGGCUGCGUCCAUCUUUGCUCGAUUCCCUCGUGGUUGCCAGCGUCUAAUCUAAUUUCAAAAACAAGUUCCAAACUGAAUCCUGUGGAAUUACGGAAUUAACCACGAGUGAAGUGUUCGACGCAUGUGGAAAUAGAAGUUUCUCAGCAUUACCGCGGAAAGCUGGCAUCGUUAAAAACAGAUUGUAUCGUACAAUUUCGUUGGAAUUUUGCGUAAGGAUCAAUUCUUUCCCAGUGUUUUAUAUUGUGCACGUGUUGAUUGCAGAUUGAGUAGCAUGAAAUUAGUUUUCUUUAUUUUUCGUUUGUCGGUGUGGCUUCGUAUUGCUGUAGAGUAUCAUUCUUGUCAUCUCUGUAACCAGAUGUCAACGAUUAUCCCGUCGCAUUUCUCUCCGAAAAGAUUCUUGAUCGUUUAUCUGUUUCCAGUUGUAGCUGCUUUUCUGAUUCGAUUGCGAUUUCAGUGAUACGCUGAGCAUCGCGCUGCUGCUUUUUUUCGCAUCUGAUUGUCGCUUUGACAAGUACAUCAUCUGCCGAUCUCGUCUCGGAACAGAUUUUUGUUCAAGCGCACGGCUGAGAUCUCUCUCAGUCAUUAACACGUUGAAUGUCAUGAGGCUCACCGGUGACACCCAACCAAAUGGAAUUACUGUAGUUCAUUGAAUUGAACGAUGAUUAUUUGAAAACAUUUCUAUAUUAUAAAUAAUUCUAUAUAGUGCGAUGGCAUUCAGCUAGAUGAACGUGCAAUAAUAAUAAUGCAACUCGAUCAAAUGAUUCAAUAUUACAUUUUUUCCAUCUUGUGCAGUUUCAACUAUGAAAUUGUGUGACAUUCGGCGUGUUAACGAACAGGCUAAUUAAUUUGGUUGAUGGUACCGAUUCCAUGUGGGUAACAGGUUACAACAAGCACAUUUAAAAACUUGAAGUUUCCAUUUAAAAAGAAAAUCAAGCUGGACUUUCGCUGGCCAUUAAAACGAUUAGCUAAUUGUAAUAGUAACAGUAAGAGGUUGUAACACCGGUUUCAAGAAAAUCGAAGAAAUCAAUUUUACACGCUGGUUGCCCGAUCUUUCCACGUAACGAAUGUUUGAUGAUAUAUUCACGCUAUUAUGUAAUAUAUUGCAUAUACCAACGGUCACUUUGCAUGAGUAACAGACGCACAGUGAAUAUUCUGUAUCGGUGUUCUUGAAAGUGAAACAUUCUGCGAAUGAACUUCAUUGCAGUAAAACUGCCUCUAACGCGAUUAAAGAAAUUGUCGUAAAAUAUACAAGAGAACCAACAUUCAAGUUAAUAUAGUAUCAAAAACAAGAAAUUCGUGAACGCGAAACACUGUAACACGGAAUAUUUUAACACUGAAACUACCAGAUAGGUCGAAACGACCUAUUUUUGAUGCCUACUGUUUGCGAUUAUUAAAAAGAUAACGGAUGUUUCUCUGAUAAUUUAUCAAAGAAAUUGAUUUAUCAAUACGCAAACUGAAUUGUGAAUCGAUUAAUGUCUCAGUAGAUGCACUCUUGGACUUUCUAUAGAGAAAUAUCAAAAAGUCAGUGUAACUGCUCGAUAGUUUUAGUGUUAAUCGUGUUAUAGGAGGUUCUGCUGUAUAAAUAAAUUUCUUGUGAGAAAUCAUUGAAUCUCUUUGUUCAACGUUUCAGCCGUAAUGUCUUUCGUGCGUACGUGUAUGUGCGUGUUCGCGAAUAUUGUGUGCCCCAGAAAGUUAAGCCUUCUUUUCAGUGUUGCAUUUGAAUUAAGCGAUUAUGUUGACAAGUGAACGACGAACGCUUUCCAUGGAUAGACGAAUUUUGAUGCACACGAGGGACCAGGACUUUGUAAACAGUUCCAAGGCUGAACGAAACGAUAGAUCCCGGCGGAAAGUGUGUCGGACUGUUCGUAUUGAUACGAAGGCAAUCAAGUUAGUAAACUCGCUGAUUUCAUGCACCAUUAGGUAAUUACGUUAAGUUAAUUAGAUGUUUCGCACGUAACGUUUCUUGGAGGUUAACGAAAACCUUAUGAGACAAUUCCCAGUUAAGUCGCACCGUAACAGUUCCGCUGUUGAUCGUUGAAACAAGUCUUUUGAACAAGUCCAUGUUGAACUUUCCGUUCAAGCCAUUGGGUAUUGUCAUUGUAAAAUGAAGAAUCUUUUAAAAAUGUAUUAUGCAGUCAAUUAUGAGCAUCUUAAUACCUUGUGAUUGUAUACAAACUUGUCAUAUAAAUAUAAUAUUAAAUAUAUUUCAAGUAAAAUGUUUUAUUUUAAACUAAUAUAGACAUUAUAAAAAAAUAUUACGUGCGAGGAUGUGACUCGCUCGGUAAUGUUCGGCCAGGUAUUUGUUAAACUAAUUCCUAGAAAAAUCUAUUAAUUGCUUUGUUGUGUCAUGCAUCUUAAACUAUACACCCUUUCCUUGAUAGUUAUGAAUUUUGCAUUAUUUUAAUCACUGUAAGGCAUACUCCAGAAAUAAAACGAUACAAUUGUAAAUUGUAUCUUCGGCCUGAGCGGAAGAUCUUCAAAAAACGGUCUGGCACGGAACGUGUUAAACGCGAGUCACGUUCGUAGCAAUUUUACAAAUUGUUUAGUUUCCUAAAAUUUUCAUUGGAAACUAAAUUGUUGGCUAGAAAAUUAUCGAGUCAAUUGAUGUUUCAUUGUUGUAAGCACUGUGUUCUUACUUGUCCUAAAUCAUCAUUGUCGUGACAACGAAUAAAAAAUAUACGUUUUUCUGUGAUUGAUUCCUGUAUCAAUGGAAACCAAUAUGGCAAGCCGAAUGCAAGAGGAGGUCUACAGUAGACGUCAUUCUCUGUGGUGACAAUGUUAUGCAACCCUUUCAAUGGGUGGUCGAUACUGUAACAUCCAAGAAGCAUGGGAACGUAUUAACGGCGAUCACCACUAUUGGAAUUUAUGCGUGUGCGCGUUAUACGGUGGGCAAAGGAUUAUUGACUGUAGCUUUGGUAGUUUCUGUGUCGUAGUUAUCGAAUACGACACACUAUCAACGCAAAGGAGAAGCUACUAAUUUAUGAUGGAUUAAUCGAGGCAGUGUUGACUCGUCAAAGGGCCAUUGAGUUAGUGCUUACGGAUCAAGAAAUGAUGUCAGCGGAUUCGUUUACGUGGAUUCAAAAAGAAAUACUUUUCUAUGCAUAUUCAAGAAAAUAAUUUUUGUAUUAUUCAUUUCGCAAGAUUUACCCAAAGGCAAGUCUUCUCAGCAUCUCUGUUUGUCUUUCUUGCGUUUGAUUGGUGUGCCGUGAUAAUGGAUCUGUACCAUAUAAUUGAGAUUUACUAUAUGGAGGAAUAUAAUACCAGUCUCAUAUUGGAAUUCAUAUCGAAUGGUUGAAUUAUAAUAUUUUGCAUACUUAAAUAUUGCUUUAUACUUAAAAUAUUCAUGGUCAGUUCCUCAGAGACACCUUCGUUGCAGUCCAGUUUAAAAUACACGAAUACACAUGGACACUGCUCCUAUAGGGGCACAAAAAAUGUUGAUACUCAUAACCUGCGGCAUGCAGAGAGGCUGGACUCCAGUUCUUGGCGGUAUCUUUCAUCCAUGUAACGAAGGAUUAUUCGCGGUAACAAAGCUUUCGCCAGUCCAUUAUCUAUACGCGAACGAUGCGAUUAGGCUGCGUAGCUGCAGCGAUUAUUUUGGUGUAAUAGGCAAACAAAGUUCUUCUGCCUCACAAGAAAAGCAUAAAUGAACUUCACGUCUCUCUUUACCAAAAUCGCACAGCGUCAACGUUGUGGCGCCGCAGCGUAAUCGUGACGCUCAUCUGCACUGGCCUUAACAUCACUUAGAGUUUACAGUUUAUAGGUACUUCGAUUAUCGAUAUCAUACUUAACGGUUAUGUACUCUUUGAAAAUAUAAUCAAGUAUACCAAGUUCCAUCAAACGGUCGUAUAUUCACGUAAGAUUUUCUUUGGCAAAUAAUAAAUGUUUCUAUGCAGCAUGAAGAACGUGGCUUUAUCUUAUACAGGCGUUUAGGGAGGACACUUAUUUGACACUAAAACUGCCGUCAAAAUGACCGAUUUCAGUUUAUCCAUUUUACAAUUAUUCAUAUUUUCAAUGCAUUGAACAUUAGAAAUAAUUUUGAAAAUUAGUAAACAGUUUCUCUCCAACACUACGGCAAAUGUCUGUAGAAAUUGGAAAAGGUGUAUUGUUACAAUCUUCAUAACGAUUACAUGUCAACCUCAAUAAAUGCUCGAUAGUUCUAGUGUUAAGAGAAUCCUUUGCCAGUAUUUGAUAAACGAUGAAUUGUCAACAUCCAAUUUGAAAAGUUCACAGGGUGGCUAAAUCGAUAAUUUCAAUACCACAUAAUGAAAUAUUGUCCGUACCUAUCUUUCCAGAUUGCCAGAUGUGAAUUUCGGUAUAUGCUCAUCUUGAUGAUUUCAUAUUACUUACUCCCCUUACCCUUUAUGUACGAUUUCUCUCUGGGAAAAACGCAUUCCCUAAAUUUAUUGAAACAACAACAACAACAACAACAACUGUCUAAGCCCGCAGACUUUUGUUUAUCUUACCGCAUCCCACCGUUUACCCUGCAUAUUACAGCACUAUGCACGUUUUUGCAAACUGGCAGAAAUUUGUUGCGCGUUGAAUAGCCAAUGAACAAAUGAAAUAGGUCGGGGCGGUCUAACGGCACGCAACUCGCGGUUAGAUUAUAGCGGCUGGCACUAUAAGGUUUUCAUGAGCGCACCAUGAUCAGCACGACAUUUUUGUGGUACAUACAAGAAGGUACAACCGUUUGUGAGUAUUCACUAAAUAAUAAUUUCCGAAAUUACUUUUUACUGAAUAUUCAGUGCAUGAUACUGAUACAUUACAUGAGAAUCCCUUUUCUAAUUACCUGGAUAAUAUUCACGCAUUUAGCAAUAAGCCAGUUUGAUCCGAAAAGGAAUUACUACUGCAGUAAUAUUUCUAUUUACCAGCCAUGCAUUAUUAUACGAUUGUGAAACGUUUUGAUACCGAUAUCAUCGCAUGAAUUUCGCGUCCACGUUAACCGACUUAAAAAUCGAAUAUGUCAAUGAAAGAAUCGUUUAACAAUCGCUUGUUGGAAUAAGCACAUCGGCAGAAGCUUUAUCAAAUAAUUUUCUAUAUAUAUAUAAUUCACGAUAACGGAAAACAACAUACCUCACGUGCGCAUGAUACCGGACAGCGAAGAGUAAGUAUCACUUUCACUAGGAAGAAAUAAAAAGUACGUCUCGAUUGUUCCCGUGUUGUCGAUGGACUGCGUUUUUCAGUCGCGCAUAGCUCUUCACCAAUGCCUCCCCCUUGUAGAAAUGAAAGUGCGUGUAAGAGAGGGGCGUGAGAAAUUUAACACCUACCGCACAGGUGCUCUGUGAGCAAACCGUUUCUGUGAAAUGGCACUUAUAAUACUGAGUUUACAAUAAAACUGAAAUAGGAAGUUACAAACGUUAAUACUGCGUGUGAAAUUACAGCAACAGUCGAGAGUCUAUCGAUACUUUUCUACCUUAAUAUCUCGUACGAAUAUUGGAGCCUUCACACGCAUUACAUUGUUUUUGUUUAUUCAUAUUUCCUUGCAAGCAGUGUUUUCGAAGGAGACGAAUUCUUCGUAAUUACAGAGGGAUCGAAGUGAUCCUGAUAGUGACUUCAGAGUCAGAUAUCUUUCGGCCACCGGAUGUAACGGACUUCUCAGGUUAUCAACAUUAUACAGCUGUUGUAUUUCUUCUAAACACUACAGGACUUUGGCCGUACAAAACUUCGUGUUUGAGAGUAAAUUGAAGGCCCGUCAGUGUCAUGACACUUUCGUUGGGUUUCAUUGUUCAGGAAAUUAGAAAUAUCGUUUUAUCCUGUAUAAGAAGGACUUCGUUACGUUGGAAGCGAAACGAAUUAAUCAACUUCGUUCAGCUGAGCCAUCCAACUUGCAUUUUAUUUCAACCUCGCCUCGUCAGUAUGGGUUUUAUAUGUAUAUGAGCUGAAAAGUAAAAGCAACAGUUUAAAGUGAGAUAAAUAAUAAAUAAUAACGAAGGUCUCAAUGUCAGUUGUAAUUUGUGACGCAAGUUCCGUUUCCCAGGGUGCGAAAGCUAUGUCACGCGUGUGAGUACCAUGCAUUUUCUAACCAAGAUGGACGC